AACGAACGCUGGCGGCAGGCUUAACACAUGCAAGUCGAGCGCCCCGCAAGGGGAGCGGCAGACGGGUGAGUAACGCGUGGGAAUCUACCCAUCUCUACGGAAUAACGCAUGGAAACGUGUGCUAAUGCCGUAUACGUCCUUCGGGAGAAAGAUUUAUCGGAGAUGGAUGAGCCCGCGUUGGAUUAGCUAGUUGGUGGGGUAAAGGCCUACCAAGGCGACGAUCCAUAGCUGGUCUGAGAGGAUGAUCAGCCACACUGGGACUGAGACACGGCCCAGACUCCUACGGGAGGCAGCAGUGGGGAAUAUUGGACAAUGGGCGCAAGCCUGAUCCAGCCAUGCCGCGUGAGUGAUGAAGGCCGUAGGGUUGUAAAGCUCUUUCACCGGUGAAGAUAAUGACGGUAACCGGAGAAGAAGCCCCGGCUAACUUCGUGCCAGCCGCCGCCGUAAAAC
rnacentral:rRNA from 1 species